CGCCAGCUCGAGCCGGGGAGAGAUGCUGCGGCCAGGGCAAGGGGGUAGGAGCGCGCCUCCUCCAAGGAUGCUGCUGCGGAUGCUGCAAUCAGCAUCCCGCCAGUCCUACAGAUGCAGUGGGCCUGAAGCUGGGACCUUUUGCAUUGAGCCACAGUUCUCUCCCAAAGGGAGGCAGGUAGGAGAUGUUCGUGCCAAGACUCCUCUGCUGCUUCUGUUUGAUCUCUUGAAAGGAGGAGAGCGCAGCUGCUCUUUGGAGUCCAGGUCCCUCUCAAGUGCAGUAUAACCC